CCCUAGUAACGGCGAGUGAAGAGGGAAGAGCCCAAGAUUGAAAGCUGGCGCCUUCGGCGUCCGCAUUGUAAUCUCAAGAAGUGUUUUCCGCUUCGGACCAUGCCUAAGUCCCUUGGAAAAGGGCAUCAUAGAGGGUGAUAAUCCCGUACAUGGCAUGGAGCGCCCGAAGCUUUGUGAUACACUUUCUAAGAGUCGAGUUGUUUGGGAAUGCAGCUCAAAAUGGGUGGUAAAUGCCAUCUAAGGCUAAAUAUUGGGGAGAGACCGAUAGCGAACAAGUACAGUGAUGGAAAGAUGAAAAGAACUUUGAAAAGAGAGUUAAACAGUACGUGAAAUUGCCAAAAGGGAAGGGUAGGAGGUCAAACAUGCUUGUCGGGAUUUAUCUCGGUUUGCAGGCCAACGUCGGUUUUGGGCACUGGAGAAGGGUAGGAGGAACGUGGCACCUCUCGGGGUGUGUUAUAGCCUCCUACUGGAUACAGCGACCGAGACCGAGGACAGCAGCGUACUCGCAAGAGCGGGCCCUCGGGCACCUUUACGCUUAGGGCGUUGGCAUAAUGGCCCUCUACCACCCGUCUUGA
rnacentral:rRNA from 1 species